ACCCCAAAACCCAUUACCCGAGCCCCCCAUCAAAACAAAUUCCAAUCUCUUCUUCUCUCUUCUAAAAAUAACAGAAAAUUCAAAGCCUAGAUUUUUGAUCUAAAAGAGGAACUCGGUAACCCCUUGUUGUCGGUAUUUGAAGACCCAAAAAAUCUUUUUUUAUCGUGUUUAUCAAUUUGGGUUCAUUCAGCUUUUCAAGAUGGUUUACCUGUUCUAGAGGCAUGACAAUGUUUUUGAAAAAGGUCGAGAGAAAGGAGGAAUUUGUGAGGAGGUUUUUGGGUGGAGAGCUAAAAUGAGGAGACUUUGUAAGUGAUGAUUUUUUACACCGGUGAGAAGUACUGAGAAAAGUUCCUAGCUGCAUUCUUCUAUUUUUUAUUUUGAUGAUUGUUAUUUUGGUUGUCUUCAUGUACGGUUUGUUUGUGAUCUUUGUUUUGUUUAAGCUAUGUUGUGUUGAAAUAUGGUGUAUUGUGUUAUAUCAGACUAUUGGCUUUAAUUAAUGCUUUAUGUACUAGUGUUUUUACUUCGUUGUCUAAUU